rnacentral:misc_RNA from 1 species
CUUUAGUUGUUGUUGGACUUUGGCAUCGCGUGGGUGCGACAUUUGUCGGGAAAGGACUAUUUGGCUAGGCAAACUUGCGUGGAAAAAUUGGUGGGAGACACAUUCAGAUGUAGCUGACAAGCUUUAGACGUAACACUUAGAAGUUCAAGAGAUCUAUCGCUGAUAUUAGGCACAACAAGAUUAAGUAAUUCGCAUUUUUUCAUUUAGUCUGGUCCUGGAAUUUGCCACAUUUUAAAAACAGCCUUUCGUUUUUCGCAAUUGUCACAUCUUCAAACGUACAAUUUUUCCGGGGAAAUCAUGGGUCUUGUCGAGGAACUGCUUAAAGCUCUGGAAAAGCUGACUAAAGUUAUUUCCCAAAUUUUGAACGAGUUUGAAGGACCAAACGGAUUGAUUGAAGAAAUGAAAAGCUACGAACUAAAAAAGAACAUCGCUAAAACAACUGGAACGGUUAUAGGCAUUGCUGGUGUGUGUCUAGUGCCCUUCACUUUCGGAUGGUCUCUGGCUGCAACGGCAGCUGGAGCUAGCGUGAAUUUAGUCACAGAAUUUGUAGACAGCACUGAAUCCCACGCAUUCCGAGAGAGAAUGAAGAAACACAUAGAUGCAUAUCAAGAACAUUGCGAAGUCCACGAAAAGCUAAUCAAACGGCUGGAGUCUGAUAUUCACAGGCUAAGUUCGGCUCAGGAACUCGAUGUCCAGACGGCCCUGCUCUACUGCGCACUCUCAGCCGAAGCGAACAAGUUAGACAAGAAAAUGGUUAAAAUUAGCGACGCAGAAAUGAUAAACAGAAGCGCACACAUGGCAGGACUUGCCCUUACACUCCAGCAAACGGGAAAGUCCGCAUUUAUGGCUACAGUAAAGGGAGUUGGAAAGGCUACCGUUGUCGUUGGAGGCUUCGUGUCUGCAUACGAAACGGUCACACUUUUCUUGGACUGGAAUGGUACCCAUCCCACGAUUGCCGGAGCUGAAAAAGUGGUGGAAGAAUUUAAAACGGCCCAAUCUUCUUUGAACAAAAGGAUGAAAAACAUUAAAAAAGGAGUGGGCAUGAAAAGUAAUAAACAAGGAAAUAGCGAAAAAUCACAAUAUGAAAAGAUUUGGCAGAGAGAUUCCGCUGAUCAGAACAAGGAAGAUGUAAACGAAGGAAAAGCUGGAGGCGGAGACGACGAAAAGGAGCCCCAAAAACCAACAAAAGAUGAUAAACCUGAAGAGAAAAGAAACGAAACUAAAGUCAAUGUUGAUUCUGACAUUACUCUACCGGAUGGAAGGCGUAUACUCAGGGUUUCCGCUGUUGUAAGGCUAGAAAACUUGGGUCAAGGUAGUAACACAAACAAUUCCGUGGCGAAAAAAUGGAAGAAAAGUUUCAAUUUACCGGAUGAUUACCACGCAGGCCACAUCAUUGGCUGUAUGUUAGGGGGAUCUGGUUCUGAUGUGAACAAUCUUGUCCUAAUGCACAGUGGCUUUAAUAACGGAAGCCUCAAAUCUUUUGAGUUCCGUGCCCGUAAUUUACUCAAGCAAUGCCAGGCAAUCAAUCCUAACGCCUCCGUGGAGGCAAGAAUUAUGGUUUCCAUAGUUUUUGCUCCGGGUGGCAAGGUACCAUUUCAUAUAUUGUAUGGCGUUAGAUUGGUCGUUAAUGGAGUCGUAGAAAAACAAGGAUAUGCCGCUGUUUUCGUAAUCAACUGUUGUGCAAAUGGUCCCCAUGAUGGUCCUUGUAACGGUAUGCAAGAGGACUAUUAUUAUACGGAUGAAUAGAUUACUGAGGUCUAUUAAACCAAGCCUGGACAAGAUAAUCGUGAUUACAAAAAAGGAAAAAUUUACUUUUACCCAAUAAUUUCAAGGAAAAAGGGCAAGAUAUUCUGUAUUAAAAGGACUAUUGUUUUGGUUUUCAUAGCAUUUAUUGAAUUAUCAAUAGCUUUACUGCUCUGCUUUUUAAAGUAAAAUUUCGUUGGUUUGCUGAGACGAAAUACACUAACAUCCCAUACGAAAAAAACCUUGUUCACUUAAAUAUGCUUACAGUUAAAGAAUAUACAAAGUCAAAGGGAACAAAAUUAUAUUAACUUUCAUUCCAAGUCCGACGAUAAUUUUCACGCAUUUUCUAAUUAAUGUAAAACUGAUUUUCUUUACGAUUUGUUGGUAGUCCGACAAAUAUUUUUAUCCAAAACUGGAAAAUGACAACGCCACUAAAAUUUAGCAGACGGCGAUGUUGGUUACUUAACAGUUAAUGACUGAACAUGUGAACAUGCUCCGUGUGUAGGCGUUAGUUAACAAGAAUAAGUUAGUUGUAGCACAGACUAAGAUUAGAUUCUAAUAUUAGUCUGUGGUUGUAGCAUCGUUGUAGACCUGCUGGAAUUUCUGUUUGUGAUAGCUUUUUUGUUGGUGUAUUGCAUUUCAUCAGUGCCAUCCUUAGCAGUUAUGAAUGCUACAAGAAAACGGCUGAUUCCGAAUUAAGUGUUAAAAAAUAAAUUGUUUCCCCACGUGGCCGACAUGUCCUGGUUGAAUAAUAAAAUGUUGCCCUUUGACGUAAACAGUGCAAAGAAGCAAGUAUAAACACAGAAGAAAACAAACAUCACAUUGUAGAUAUAUGCCAACAGGGUUUACCAGUGCUAAUGGGUUCUGAAACUGUUACCUGGAACGACGUGCACCGGAAUCAGAAUGUUUGGUUGAUUGAUGACAAGAAUGAAAUCUUUAAUUCAUCUACCUUUGGCGAUUCUAGUUCAAGGUUUGGGUUUGGCUGUCGUACCAAAAUGACUUGUCAUACACAACAGAAAAUGACUCAUCAGGAUGUACAUCAAAUGUUUAGAAAUUAGAAGUCAAUCAG